GGAUGAACGCUAGCUACAGGCUUAACACAUGCAAGUCGAGGGGAAACGAUAUUGGAAGCUUGCUUCCGAUAGGCGUCGACCGGCGCACGGGUGAGUAACGCGUAUCCAACCUGCCCACCACUUGGGGAUAACCUUGCGAAAGUAAGACUAAUACCCAAUGACGUCUCUAGAGGACAUCUGAAAGAGAUUAAAGAUUUAUCGGUGAUGGAUGGGGAUGCGUCUGAUUAGCUUGUUGGCGGGGUAACGGCCCACCAAGGCAACGAUCAGUAGGGGUUCUGAGAGGAAGGUCCCCCACAUUGGAACUGAGACACGGUCCAAACUCCUACGGGAGGCAGCAGUGAGGAAUAUUGGUCAAUGGGCGAGAGCCUGAACCAGCCAAGUAGCGUGCAGGAUGACGGCCCUAUGGGUUGUAAACUGCUUUUAUAAGGGAAUAAAGUGAGUCUCGUGAGACUUUUUGCAUGUACCUUAUGAAUAAGGACCGGCUAAUUCCGUGCCAGCAGCCGCGGUAAUACGGAAGGUCCGGGCGUUAUCCGGAUUUAUUGGGUUUAAAGGGAGCGUAGGCCGGAGAUUAAGCGUGUUGUGAAAUGUAGACGCUCAACGUCUGCACUGCAGCGCGAACUGGUUUCCUUGAGUACGCACAAAGUGGGCGGAAUUCGUGGUGUAGCGGUGAAAUGCUUAGAUAUCACGAAGAACUCCGAUUGCGAAGGCAGCUCACUGGAGCGCAACUGACGCUGAAGCUCGAAAGUGCGGGUAUCGAACAGGAUUAGAUACCCUGGUAGUCCGCACGGUAAACGAUGGAUGCCCGCUGUUGGUCUGAAUAGGUCAGCGGCCAAGCGAAAGCAUUAAGCAUCCCACCUGGGGAGUACGCCGGCAACGGUGAAACUCAAAGGAAUUGACGGAAGGG
rnacentral:rRNA from 1 species